UUGAGCGAAGCGGUCGGGGUUAGGACUCCGAUAUACGAGCCAAAGGUUAGCCGAACGGCAUGGGAAGGCCGUCCGCAGAGGGUGAGAGACCCGUAGGCGAAAACCGAAUGGCAGUUAGGAGUAUCCAGAGUACCGCCGGACACGUGAAACCCGGUGGGAAGAUGGGGGGACCACCCUCCAAGCCUAAAUACUACCCAGUGACCGAUAGAGGAGCAGUACCGUGAGGGAAAGGUGAAAAGAACCCCGUGAGGGGAGUGAAAGAGAACCUGAAACCUUGUGCCUACAAGCACCGAGAGCGCGUUUACGCGUGAUCGGGUACCUUUUGUAGAAUGGUCCGGCGAGUAAAUCUUGCAUGCGAGGUUAAGGUACUGGAGUACCGGAGCCGCAGGGAAACCGAGUCUGUCAUGGAGGGCCGAACCCACGUCUGUUGAAAAAGCCGGGGAUGAGGUGUGGAUAGCGGAGAAAUUCCAAACGAACCCGGAGAUAGCUGGUUCUCCCCGAAAUAGCUUUAGGGCUAGCGUUGUGUAUAGAUUCCCGGAGGUAAAGCACUGAAUGGGCUAGGGGCCGAUAAGGUUACCGAACCCUAUCAAACUCUGAAUGCCGGAGAAUUGUUUCACAGCAGUCAGACAGCGUGAGAUAAGUUUCGUUGUCGAGAGGGAAACAGCCCAGACCUACGUCUAAGGUCCCUAAUAACCGCUAAGUGGAAAACGAUGUGGAGCUGCUAAAACAACCAGGAUGUUGGCUUAGAAGCAGCCAUUCAUUCAAAGAGUGCGUAAUAGCUCACUGGUCGAGUGGCUCUGCGCGGAAGAUAUAACGGGGCUAAGCGGUUAACCGAAGACUAGGCUGACGGGCAAUUGACAAUGAACAAUUGAUAAUUGACAAUUAGGGGGCGCGAGAUAUGCGCGAGAAUGUCGUUUUGGAAAAGAGCAAACAAUUUGCCGUGCGAAUUGUGAAGCUGUAUCAGCAUCUUGAAAAAAGAGAGCGGGUACUUUCCAAACAGCUCCUGCGGAGCGGAACGAGCAUUGGCGCGAAUGUCAAUGAAGCGCUGCAAGGUCAAAGCAGACGCGAUUUUACAGCAAAGAUGUCCAUCUCACUCAAGGAAGCCGUGGAGACGGAGUAUUGGUUGGAACUGCUGUAUAAGACCGAAUAUUUGACCGAUGCGGAAUAUGAAAAUAUCGGUGCGGAUUGCGGCGAGUUGGCGAGAUUGCUGACGGCGAUCGUAAGAAGCGCAAGAGAGACGCAUCCUUAAUUGUCCAUUGUCAACUGUCAAUUGUCAAUUGUCCGUCGGGGUAGGGGAGCGUAUGAGAAUGCCGGAAUAAGUAGCGAGAAUUAUGUGAGAAUCAUAAUGGCCGAAAAUCUAAGGUUUCUUGGGGAAGGUUCGUCCGCCCAAGGUAAGCCGGAAGCUAAGGCGAGGCCGAAAGGCGUAGCCGAUGCACAUACGGUGGAAAUUCCGUAGCCGCCGACAUUUAAGUCAGGAGGACACUUGAGAAUAGCUCGACCCCGGCGUUGGUUGACCGGGGCGUAAGGGACCGAAAUUAGAGUAGGGAAGCGAGCGGUACCGCAAACCGACACAGGUAGAUGAGGAGAGAAUCCUAAGGCCAACGGGAGAAGGGUUGUCAAGGAACUCGGCAAAUUGACCCCGUAACUUCGGGAGAAGGGGUGCCUGCGCAAGCAGGCCGCAGAGAAUAGGCCCAAGCGACUGUUUAUCAAAAACACAGGUCUCUGCAAAGUCGAAAGACGACGUAUAGGGGCUGACGCCUGCCCAGUGCCGGAAGGUUAAAAGGAGAUGUUAGGCUCCAUCGAGCGCUUUGCGCCGAAUGGAGAACCAUUAGCAAUUGACAAUGAAUAAUUGACAAUUGACAAUUUAGGAAUCGCGCGAAGCGCGAUGAUUCAAAAUCAUCCGCAAAGCGGACUCCAUAAUUGUCCAUUGUACAUUGUCAAUUGUCAAUUGCCAACGCGGAGCGUUGGAUGGAGCCGAAGCAUUGAAUUGAAGCCCCGGUGAACGGCGGCCGUAACUAUAACGGUCCUAAGGUAGCGAAAUUCCUUGUCAGGUAAGUUCUGACCCGCACGAAUGGCGUAACGAU
rnacentral:rRNA from 1 species